UAAAAAUAAAUCUGCAAUGUUGAGCAGCUAUUUGCGCCCAUUUGAAUGAAGUUCGCACUCUUGAUGCAAGAGUUUUUCAUUCUGCUCUGCAAUUAAUUGAGGGAAAGGAGGGAGGGAGCCUUGGCUAUGGAAUCUUUGCUUCCCUUUCCCUCAGCCAUCUUCGACUUCCCCACAGUUCUGCGGAGGAACCCUCUUUCUCUCUCAUGCAGUGGGUUCAGAAAGUUCAAUAAGUUGAGAAUUAAAUCUCACCAUAUGUCUUUUGAGGUCAAGGAUGUAAGUUAUCGACCUCCUGGGACCCAGCACAAUCUUUUAAAUGAAGUUUGCCUCUCUCUGCCAGAGAAAAGCUUGGGCUUGAUCUAUGGAAGGAGUGGAAGUGGAAAAACUACACUCUUGCAGAUCCUUGCUGGAUUGUCUAAGCCCACAUCUGGGUUCAUUUGUAUUCAGAAAUAUGGGAAUGAUGGGCAGCCAAACCAACCCCCUGAAACAUUAUCAUCAGAAAAGGUUGGCAUUGUUUUCCAGUUCCCUGAGAGUGUCUCAUUACAUAUGGCUGAUGGUGAGAAAAAUAACUAUAUUUGCCUCCACUACUUUCCGAAGCAGUACUUCUUAACUGAUACCGUGCUUGAAGCAGUCACGUUUGGUUGGCCAAAGCACAGUGGGGGCUUACCUCUGAGACAACAACUUGCUCUAAGGCUUGAAAGUGCUUUUUAUUCGGUUGGAUUGAUUGGGAUUUCCAUGGAAAAAGAUCCACAAUCUCUGAGUGGUGGUUUCAAACGGCGUCUUGCACUCGCAGUUCAAUUAGUACGCAUGCCAGAUUUAUUGCUGCUGGAUGAGCCCCUUGCUGGUCUUGAUUGGAAAGCUCGGGCUGAUGUUGUGGAUCUGUUGAGGAGUUUGAAGAAAAAUCUGACAAUACUUAUUGUUAGCCAUGAUUUAAAUUGGGAGUAGUGAGAAAAGAUAUGGAGACUUAUAGCUUCACUAAAGGUAUGGUUCUUGAUAGAGCAGAAUGGCGGACCAGAAUUUGUGUGGUCGACCCCAAAUAGUUGGAAAAAGGCUUUGAUGAUGAUGAUGACAUUGCUACAUGAGCUCUGUUUAACAGGACAUGGCCUCGAACUCAAAGUUUAGAAGCCUUAAGUCUCCCCACUAACUGAGUUGAAGAGAAUUAUCAUCCUUGGUGGACCGAUCGUGGCGGAUGGAAAUGGGUGGAGUUCUAAAGGAGGAACCUCUACGACUGUAG